CAUGUCAGCGUGAGUUGCUGAUGUGGCAGCAAAUCGUGUCCUUGAAGGCACGAUUUGCUGCCACGUCAGCAACUCGCGCUGACGUGG
rfam:Gossypium raimondii Chr12_contig_435, whole genome shotgun sequence.